AGUAGUGUGGGGGUGGGGAGUUGGGGGAGGAACCAUGUAUUGAAUAAUGCUGUCACUUACAUCAGGAGUCUUAGCACCUGAAUGCAUGACUGAGAAGCCAUCCUCAUGUGCUGAACACAGGACCACACGGGAAGAAGGACGAUCAGACUGUCUCUGUCCUGCCUCUAGAGGAAAACAGCCGAUACAACAGCUCUUAGGAGUGAGCGUCAUCUAAUCUGUGGAAUGUCUGAAGAGACCAAAAGACUGCGGAAGCAACGUUUCUUUCAUCACUGCUCUUCAUUUCCUAUCUCCCUCCCUGCUAUAGAUUGCUGUUGGUUCAAACCAACAAUGUCUAAGUAGGUUGCCCCACAUGGAUUCCCCACGAGGAUGAUGCACCAGGAAGAACUCUUCAUCUCCCGGAUGCCUGGGUACGCAUGCCUUGGAGUGAAAGACCUCGAGCCACUUGACAGCUUGGCCAUGAACUUCUUAGACAGUAACUAUGCAAGCGCUUCCAGAAAUCAUCAGAGGCCCAUGAGCCUGAAGGGGAUGAGCCAGAAGGGAAGCAGUGUGAAGACUCAAGACCACAGAGCCUGGUGGGCCCCAGGGACGCCGAUCUCCAUCUUAGGGGCAAUCUAGAGGCAUUGAAGAGUUUCAUCACCGGGGAGCCAAGAGGUUCUAUUUGCAUUUUAUAAAAAUUUGAGCUUCAGUGUAGAGACUAAAUUAGAACAAGG